AAUUUUUGACUAUGGGGGAAACCCUGAUCCAGCCAUCCCGCGUGUAUGAUGAAGGNCUNNGGGUUNUNAAGUACUUUUGUUAGNNNNNUAAAGGUAUCUACUAAUACGAUAUCAUUUUUACGGUAUCUGCAGAAGAAGAACCGGCCAAUUACGUGCCAGCAGCCGAGGUAAUGCGUAUGUUGCAUGCUUUAAUCGGAAUUACUGGUCGUAAAGCGUGUGUAGGCAGUACGGAAAGAAAGAUGUGUAAUCCCAGGGAUCAACCAUGGAACUAACUUUAUAACUGCCGAGUUAGAGUGUGUCAGAGGGAUGUAGAAAUCCACGUGUAGAAGUGAAAUGCGUAGAUAUGUAGAGGAAUACCGAUGGCGAAAGCAGCCCCCUUGGUUAAUACAGACGCACAAACACGAAAGCGUGGGGAGCAAACA
rnacentral:rRNA from 1 species